rnacentral:ncRNA from 1 species
UAUUAGGUUUUGAUGAGAAAAGUACAUAACGGAGAUUGCCAAGAGAGUUCAUGGUUGGUGGAAAUGAACGUUUCAAAGUUAUCGAAAAUGGUCUCUGAACCUUCGGGGGUGAAUUGUUUAGCUCCCGACAUUUGUGUAUGUUACAACACGAAGGAAUCAACAGGUUCUGGAUAAGAUAGUUAAUGAUAUUAAUGUAUCAUUUUAGCUAUAAACUAAGGUGGUACCGCGAAGCAUUCGCCCUUUUU